GUGCUCGCUUCAGCAGCACAUACACUAAAAUUGAAACCAUACAGAGAAGAUUAGCACGGUCCCUGUGCAAGGAUGGCAUGCAAACUCUUGAUGCAUUCCAUAUUUUU
ensembl:snRNA U6 U6 spliceosomal RNA